rnacentral:rRNA from 1 species
GAUGAACGCUGGCGGCGUGCCUAAUACAUGCAAGUCGAGCGAACAGACGAGGAGCUUGCUCCUCUGACGUUAGCGGCGGACGGGUGAGUAACACGUGGAUAACCUACCUAUAAGACUGGGAUAACUUCGGGAAACCGGAGCUAAUACCGGAUAAUAUAUUGAACCGCAUGGUUCAAUAGUGAAAGACGGUUUUGCUGUCACUUAUAGAUGGAUCCGCGCCGCAUUAGCUAGUUGGUAAGGUAACGGCUUACCAAGGCAACGAUGCGUAGCCGACCUGAGAGGGGGAUCGGCCACAGUGAAACGGAGAAACGGUCAGGACCCCAACGGAAGGCGGCGGUGGGAAUCUUCCGCAAUGGGCGAAAGCCUGACGGAGCAACGCCGCGUGAGUGAUGAAGGUCUUCGGAUCGUAAAACUCUGUUAUUAGGGAAGAACAAAUGUGUAAGUAACUAUGCACGUCUUGACGGUACCUAAUCAGAAAGCCACGGCUAACUACGUG